rnacentral:rRNA from 1 species
UACGUAGGGGGCAAGCGUUGUCCGGAAUCAUUGGGCGUAAAGCGCGCGUAGGCGGCCCGGUAAGUCCGUUGUGAAAGUCAAAGGCUCAACCUUUGAACGCCGAUGGAUACUGCCGGGCUAGAGUCCGGGAAGAGGCGAGUGGAAUUCCUGGUGUAGCGGUGGAAUGCGCAGAUAUCAGGAGGAACACCCAUAGCGAAGGCAGCUCGCUGGGACGGUACUGAG